rnacentral:rRNA from 1 species
ACAUACGGCCAUGGAUCAAAGCAAACUGGGCAUUCUACCUAUACGCAAGCUUCGUAUUGGUAGAUUAGUGGUUAGGUGGGUGACCACUAGCGAACACUCACUGCUGUGUGUG